rnacentral:rRNA from 1 species
UCAGUAAACACGUAGUCACAUGCCCAAAGGACGUGGAUAACUCGGGAAACUGAGGAUAAACCGCGAUAGGCCAAGGUUUCUGGAAUGAGCCAUGGCCGAAAUCUAUAUGGCCUUUGGAUUGGACUGCGGCCGAUCAGGCUGUUGGUGAGGUAAUGGCCCACCAAACCUGUAACCGGUACGGGCUUUGAGAGAAGGAGCCCGGAGAUGGGCACUGAGACAAGGGCCCAGGCCCUAUGGGGCGCAGCAGGCGCGAAACCUCUGCAAUAGGCGAAAGCUUGACAGGGUUACUCUGAGUGAUGCCCGCUAAGGGUAUCUUUUGGCACCUCUAAAAAUGGUGCAGAAUAAGGGGUGGGCAAGUCUGGUGCCAGCC